rnacentral:rRNA from 1 species
ACCAGACUCCUACGGGAGGCAGCAGUGAGGAAUAUUGGUCAAUGGGCGGGAGCCUGAACCAGCCAUGCCGCGUGAAGGCGAGUGCCCUACGGGCGUUAAACUUCUUUUGUGCGGGAGCAAUAAGGGCCACGUGUGGCCCGAUGAGAGUACCGCACGAAUAAGCAUCGGCUAACUCCGUGCCAGCAGCCGCGGUAAUACGGGGGAUGCGAGCGUUAUCCGGAUUUAUUGGGUUUAAAGGGUGCGUAGGCGGCGCUUCAGGUCAGCGGUGAAAUACCGGGGCUCAACCCCGGGGCUGCCGUUGAAACCGGAGCGCUAGAAUUCCGAUGCCGUCGGAGGAAUGUGUGGUGUAGCGGUGAAAUGCUUAGAUAUCACGAAGAACUCCGAUUGCGAAGGCAGCCUACUAAACUGCCACUGACAUUGAUGCUCGAAAGUGUGGGUAUCAAACAGGAUUAGAUACCCUAGUA